rnacentral:rRNA from 1 species
GGAGUGGCGAACGGGUGAGUAACACGUGGGUAACCUGCCCAGAAGUAGGGGAUAACACCUGGAAACAGAUGCUAAUACCGUAUAACAGAGAAAACCGCAUGGUUUUCUUUUAAAAGAUGGCUCUGCUAUCACUUCUGGAUGGACCCGCGGCGUAUUAGCUAGUUGGUGAGGUAAAGGCUCACCAAGGCAGUGAUACGUAGCCGACCUGAGAGGGUAAUCGGCCACAUUGGGACUGAGACACGGCCCAGACUCCUACGGGAGGCAGCAGUAGGGAAUCUUCCACAAUGGACGCAAGUCUGAUGGAGCAACGCCGCGUGAGUGAAGAAGGGUUUCGGCUCGUAAAGCUCUGUUGUUAAAGAAGAACGUGGGUAAGAGUAACUGUUUACCCAGUGACGGUAUUUAACCAGAAAGCCACGGCUAACUACGUGCCAGCAGCCGCGGUAAUACGUAGGUGGCAAGCGUUAUCCGGAUUUAUUGGGCGUAAAGCGAGCGCAGGCGGUCUUUUAAGUCUAAUGUGAAAGCCUUCGGCUCAACCGAAGAAGUGCAUUGGAAACUGGGAGACUUGAGUGCAGAAGAGGACAGUGGAACUCCAUGUGUAGCGGUGAAAUGCGUAGAUAUAUGGAAGAACACCAGUGGCGAAGGCGGCUGUCUGGUCUGCAACUGACGCUGAGGCUCGAAAGCAUGGGUAGCGAACAGGAUUAGAUACCCUGGUAGUCCAUGCCGUAAACGAUGAUUACUAAGUGUUGGAGGGUUUCCGCCCUUCAGUGCUGCAGCUAACGCAUUAAGUAAUCCGCCUGGGGAGUACGACCGCAAGGUUGAAACUCAAAAGAAUUGACGGGGGCCCGCACAAGCGGUGGAGCAUGUGGUUUAAUUCGAAGCUACGCGAAGAACCUUACCAGGUCUUGACAUCUUCUGACAGUCUAAGAGAUUAGAGGUUCCCUUCGGGGACAGAAUGACAGGUGGUGCAUGGUUGUCGUCAGCUCGUGUCGUGAGAUGUUGGGUUAAGUCCCGCAACGAGCGCAACCCUUAUUACUAGUUGCCAGCAUUAAGUUGGGCACUCUAGUGAGACUGCCGGUGACAAACCGGAGGAAGGUGGGGACGACGUCAAAUCAUCAUGCCCCUUAUGACCUGGGCUACACACGUGCUACAAUGGAUGGUACAACGAGUCGCGAAACCGCGAGGUUAAGCUAAUCUCUUAAAACCAUUCUCAGUUCGGACUGUAGGCUGCAACUCGCCUACACGAAGUCGGAAUCGCUAGUAAUCGCGGAUCAGCAUGCCGCGGUGAAUACGUUCCCGGGCCUUGUACACACCGCCCGUCACACCAUGAGAGUUUGUAACACCCAAAGCCGGUGGGGUAACCUUUUAGGAGCUAGCCG